AUUGAACGCUGGCGGAAUGCUUUACACAUGCAAGUCGAACGGCAGCACGGACUUCGGUCUGGUGGCGAGUGGCGAACGGGUGAGUAAUGUAUCGGAACGUGCCUAGUCGUGGGGGAUAACGUAGUGAAAAUUACGCUAAUACCGCAUACGAUCUAUGGAUGAAAGCGGGGGAUCGCAAGACCUCGCGCGAUUGGAGCGGCCGAUAUCAGAUGAGGUAGUUGGUGGGGUAAAGGCCCACCAAGCCAACGAUCUGUAACUGGUCUGAGAGGACGACCAGCCACACUGGAACUGAGACACGGUCCAGACUCCUACGGGAGGCAGCAGUGGGGAAUUUUGGACAAUGGGCGAAAGCCUGAUACAGCCAUUCCGCGUGAAGGAUGAAGGCCCUCGGGUUGUAAACUGCUUUUGUACAGAACGAAGAGGUUUCUACUAAUACUAGGAGCUCAUGACGGUACUGUAAGAAUAAGCACCGGCUAACUACGUGCCAGCCGCCGCCGUAA
rnacentral:rRNA from 1 species